rnacentral:rRNA from 1 species
GACGAACGCUGGCGGCGUGCCUAAUACAUGCAAGUAGAACGCUGAAGGAGGAGCUUGCUUCUCUGGAUGAGUUGCGAACGGGUGAGUAACGCGUAGGUAACCUGCCUGGUAGCGGGGGAUAACUAUUGGAAACGAUAGCUAAUACCGCAUAAUAGAAGAUGUUGCAUGACAUUUGAUUAAAAGAUGCAAUUGCAUCACUACUAGAUGGACGUGCGUUGUAUUAGCUAGUUGGUGGGGUAGCGGCUCACCAAGGAGACGAUACAUAGCCGACCUGGGAGGGGUAUCGGCCAACCUGGGACUGAGACACGGCCCAGACUCCUACGGGAGGCAGCAGUAGGGGAUCCUUGGCAAUUGAGGGAAGGCUUACCGAGGAACGCCGCGGGAGUGAAGAAGGGUCUCGGGUCCGAAAGCUCCGUUGUAAGGGAAGAACGAGUGUGGGAGUGGAAAGUGCACACUGUGACGGUACCUUACCAGAAAGGGACGGCUAACUACGUG